GACGAACGCUGGCGGCGUGCCUAACACAUGCAAGUCGAGCGAAUGAAGUUUCUUCGGGAACGGAUUUAGCGGCGGACGGGUGAGUAACACGUGGGCAACCUGCCUCAUAGAGGGGAAUAGCCUUCCGAAAGGGAGAUUAAUACCGCAUAAGAUUGUAGUACCGCAUGGUACAGCAAUUAAAGGAGCAAUCCGCUAUGAGAUGGGCCCGCGGCGCAUUAGCUAGUUGGUGAGGUAACGGCUCACCAAGGCGACGAUGCGUAGCCGACCUGAGAGGGUGAUCGGCCACAUUGGGACUGAGACACGGCCCAGACUCCUACGGGAGGCAGCAGUGGGGAAUAUUGCACAAUGGGGGAAACCCUGAUGCAGCAACGCCGCGUGAGUGAUGACGGCCUUCGGUUGUAAAGUCUCUGUCUUCAGGGACGAGUAAAUGACGGUACCUGAGGAGGAAGCCACGGCUAACUACGUAGCCAGCAGCCGCGGUAACUGUAGU
rnacentral:rRNA from 1 species